rnacentral:rRNA from 1 species
UUUCCUACGGGGCGCAGCAGUGGGGAAUAUUGGGCAAUGGGCGCAAGCCUGACCCAGUAACGCCGCGUGAAGGAAGAAGGCUUUCGGGUUGUAAACUUCUUUUAUUGAGGACGAAACAAAUGACGGUACUCAAUGAAUAAGCCACGGCUAACUACGUGCCAGCAGCCGCGGUAAUACGUAGGGGGCAAGCGUUGUUUGGAAUGACUGGGCGUAAAGGGUGUGUAGGCGGUGUAGCAAGUUAGAAGUGAAAUACCUAGAGCUUAACUCAGGUGCUGCUUCUAAAACUGCUAUACUUGAGUGCAGUA